GUUGUAUGGUUAAGUGACUAAGCGUACACGGUGGAUGCCUUGGCAGUCAGAGGCGAUGAAAGACGUAGUAACUUGCGAUAAGCCCAGAUUAGGUAGUAACAACCAUUUGAGUCUGGGAUUUCUGAAUGGGGAAACCCACGUGCAUAAGCACGUAUCCUUACCUGAAUACAUAGGGUAAGGAGGCGAACCGGGGGAACUGAAACAUCUAAGUACCCCGAGGAAAAGAAAUCAACCGAGAUUCCGAAAGUAGCGGCGAGCGAAAUUGGACUAGCCCUUAAGCUUUACACGCGUUAGACGAACGGUCUGGAAAGUCCGACGAUACAGGGUGAUAGUCCCGUAGUUGACGACGUGUGUUCAGUGAAAUCGAGUAGGGCGGGACACGUGAUAUCCUGUCUGAAUAUGGGGGGACCAUCCUCCAAGGCUAAAUACUACUGACUGACCGAUAGUGAACCAGUACCGUGAGGGAAAGGCGAAAAGAACCCCUGUGAGGGGAGUGAAAUAGAACCUGAAACCGUGUACGUACAAGCAGUAGGAGCAGGCUUCGUCCUGUGACUGCGUACCUUUUGUAUAAUGGGUCAGCGACUUAUAUUCAGUGGCAAGGUUAACCAUCUAGGGGAGCCGUAGGGAAACCGAGUCUUAACUGGGCGUUCAGUCUCUGGAUAUAGACCCGAAACCAGGUGAUCUAGCCAUGGGCAGGUUGAAGGUUGAGUAACAUCAACUGGAGGACCGAACCGACUAAUGUUGAAAAAUUAGCGGAUGACUUGUGGCUAGGGGUGAAAGGCCAAUCAAACCUGGAGAUAGCUGGUUCUCCCCGAAAGCUAUUUAGGUAGCGCCUCGGACGAAUACUACUGGGGGUAGAGCACUGUUAAGGCUAGGGGGUCAUCCCGACUUACCAACCCUUUGCAAACUCCGAAUACCAGUAAGUACUAUCCGGGAGACACACGGCGGGUGCUAACGUCCGUCGUGGAGAGGGAAACAACCCAGACCGCCAGCUAAGGUCCCAAAUUACUACUAAGUGGGAAACGAUGUGGGAAGGCUCAGACAGCCAGGAUGUUGGCUUAGAAGCAGCCAUCAUUUAAAGAAAGCGUAAUAGCUCACUGGUCGAGUCGGCCUGCGCGGAAGAUGUAACGGGGCUAAGUAGUAAACCGAAGCUGCGGCAAUAUACUUUAGUAUAUUGGGUAGGGGAGCGUUCUGUAAGCGGUUGAAGGUGUGUGGUAACGCAUGCUGGACGUAUCAGAAGUGCGAAUGCUGACAUGAGUAACGAUAAAGGGGGUGAAAAACCUCCUCGCCGGAAGACCAAGGGUUCCUGUCCAACGUUAAUCGGGGCAGGGUAAGUCGACCCCUAAGGCGAGGCCGAAAGGCGUAGUCGAUGGGAAACGGGUUAAUAUUCCCGUACUUCUUACAAUUGCGAUGGGGGGACGGAGAAGGCUAGGUGGGCCUGGCGACGGUUGUCCAGGUUCAAGUGCGUAGGCUU
rnacentral:rRNA from 1 species